GAAACUGCUCUGUUCUUAGAUGGUCGUCACGCAUAUCAGUUGAAGUCAGAUUGUCUCUUCCGCUUAUUUCGAGAGCAGCGUUCAGAUUAGACAUGGUACAUGAGUGGACGACAACGCCUUUCAUGGAUGAGUCCAGGAUCUGAUUUGACUUCACAAAGAACCAGGCCAGAAUCUGAAGGAAUACUGUCACAAGAGGUUGUUCCAUUUGAUCUUCAAACAGGAAGCCAAUUGAUCAUUAGUUGAAAGAUGUUCUUGCGAAAGGAUUGAACCAUCUGCUAUAGAUCAUCAUCCAGAGACUCGUCAGAAGCAUACACACUACCUACUGAUAAGAUUGUUUUACCAUUUAUUGUGUUCUGAUCAAGAUAUAAAAAAUGCACAUAUACUAAAAUGUUCCAUUUCGAGAGUA